UUUACAGUGUUUACAAAAAAGCUUAACUUCAAAACUGUAUAAUGUAUUUAAUUCUACAAAAGAAAAUGUUCCCCAAGUUCACUGGGAAGGGAAGGUUAAGAAG